rnacentral:piRNA from 1 species
UAGAGCCAAUGAACGCCUGAGCCCU